UACGGUUAGAAUUUAACAUCAAUAUGAAUUUUUGAGUAGAUUAACAUGGUACAACUUGUAUAUUUAUUUUUAAUUGUUGAUAAUUAAUGGUAAUUUGAAAUUAUAAUAUUGAAUUGAUGCUCGAUUUGAUUUGAACGUGGGAUAGAGUACAUUCAUGAUUUGGUGUGUUACGGGGGAUUAGAGUGUAGAAUAUUGUGGAGUGACGUACAUUCAUGUUACCCGAGUAAACCGAGGUUCAGCAUUUGUUGCGAACUCUUGUGUUA
rnacentral:lncRNA from 1 species